rnacentral:rRNA from 1 species
UGCAUGUCUCAGUGCAAGCCAAAUUAAGGUGAAACCGCGAAUGGCUCAUUAAAUCAGUUAUGGUUCCUUAGAUCGUACCCACGUUACUUGGAUAACUGUGGUAAUUCUAGAGCUAAUACAUGCAAACAGAGCUCCGACCAGAUGUGGAAGGAGCGCUUUUAUUAGAUCAAAACCAAUCGGUCGGCUUGUCCGGUCCGUUUGCCUUGGUGACUCUGAAUAACUUUUGGCUGAUCGCACGGUCUUCGUACCGGCGACGCAUCUUUCAAAUGUCUGCCUUAUCAACUUACGAUGGUAGGUUCUGCGCCUACCAUGGUUGUAACGGGUAACGGGGAAUCAGGGUUCGAUUCCGGAGAGGGAGCCUGAGAAACGGCUACCACAUCCAAGGAAGGCAGCAGGCGCGCAAAUUACCCACUCCCGGCACGGGGAGGUAGUGACGAAAAAUAACGAUACGGGACUCAUCCGAGGCCCCGUAAUCGGAAUGAGCACACUUUAAAUUCUUUAACGAGUAUCC